GCCAUGCCACAGUGGGCCACAUGGGGAAGCACCAGGGCCAGGCGGGCGGCAGAGGGAGCAGAGAAGCCCUUACCGUGGUUUCCAGGAGAAGGAACAGAUGGCUGCCUUCUCGUAUCCUCGGAUCGGGGAGAGAGAAGCAAGCUCUCUCAUGUCUUCUUAUAUGGACACUAAUCCCAUCACGGGGGCUCCACUCUCAUGACCUAAUCACCUGCCUGAGGCCCCACUUCCUAAUCUCAUCACACAGGGAUGGAGCCUUCAACUUACAAAUUUUGGGGGGCACACAAACAUUCAGUCCUUGGAAGGCCUGUUGACUUCCUGUGUCUAAGCCUCGGUUUCCUCGUCUGUAACACGGCGGCAAUAUGAGCAUCCGCCUCACAGGACAGUAGUGAGGAUUAAAUGGGCUGAGCUCUGCAGCUUGCAGCUCAUGGCCCUCACUCAGGAACAGCUGGUGCCCUCUGAUGGCUAGCAUUAUACUUUUACCCCCGAUAUUUACCAGGGAGGAGGAAAAUCAAGCACAGUAAGUGCUUUAUCUAUGACCUUUCCCUCAACCUGAAGGUCAAACUCCAGGGCUUCUUGAAAAUAAGAAGAUGAUCAACAGAGAAUCAGCAGUGACAAAUACUUGUCAUGCCACAGAUUUAAAAAUCGAGGCUCAGAGAGUGACUUGCCA
rnacentral:lncRNA from 1 species